UACGGCGAGUGAAGCGGUAACAGCUCAAAUUUGAAAUCUGGCCUCGGUCCGAAUUGUAAUUUGUAGAAGAUGCUUCGGGCGUGGCACCGGUCUAAGUUCCUUGGAACAGGACGUCAUAGAGGGUGAGGAUCCCGUAUGUGACUGGCCGCCUAACCCAUGUGAAGCUCUUUCGACGAGUCGAGUUGUUUGGGAAUGCAGCUCAAAAUGGGUGGUAUAUUUCAUCUAAAGCUAAAUAUUGGCCAGAGACCGAUAGCGCACAAGUAGAGUGAUCGAAAGAUGAAAAGCACUUUGGAAAGAGAGUUAAACAGUACGUGAAAUUGUUGAAAGGGAAGCGCUUGCAACCAGACUUGCGCGUAGUCGAUCAUCCGAUGUUCUCACCGGUGCACUCGACUGCGCUCAGGCCAGCAUCGGUUUGGGUGGUUGGAUAAAGGCCUUGGGAAUGUAGCUCCUUCGGGAGUGUUAUAGCCCUCGGUGCAAUGCAGCCUACCCAGACCGAGGACCGCGCUUCGGCUAGGAUGCUGGCGUAAUGGUUGUAAGCGACCCGU
rnacentral:rRNA from 1 species